UCUGCAUUAACAAUCACUGUUACUACUUUCAGGGUGACCAAGGAUUUCCAGGUCCUCCAGGUCAAAGAGGUGCUCCAGGCCUUCCAGGUAUUGCUGGUAUCAAAGGAGAGAAGGUCAGUUAUUUGCAUCAUAUUACACAAAGUAUUUAUUGGUUAUCAACAAUUUGUGUGUGUGUUUGUUGCUCCUAACCUCUCCAUUCAUGGGAAACAGAAGGUUUGCCUUCCAGAGGAAGCAACCACAAAGUUUGGUGCUUCCAUUGUCCUAGCAGCAUUCACCUCAGGUUGCAAAAUGGUCUAUUAUUUCUUUUCCCUCAAACUACUGUUACUGCAUAUAAUGAAUUUAACACUUUCAAGCACACAAAGAAUUAAGCUCCUCUCCCAAACAGUUCAUGAAUUCAUAUGGAAAUCUGCAGAUGCUCUAGACAGUAUUUUAUAGGGAUAAAAAGUAACAAAAAUAAAUUGAAGACAAGGACAGUGCAUGAGUAAUGUAGGUAUAUCUGAAAAGAAGACUGCUCCUAACAGAGAACUGGAAGGCCUGCACAAGGUAUAUUUGGUUUAAUAAAAUCUUUUUUAUAGUUAGAACUAUCCAUAGUGGACCAUUUCUAUCAUUAUGCCAUUCUGAUGUUAAUUUCCCUACAAACUGUAUUAGAGGACUUGUUGCACUACAGAGUUUACAGCAUAAGUUUUAAUGUUUCUUUUUAUUUAAUUGUCCAGGGGUGCCCUGCAGAAGGAUAUAGCCAAGAGUAUGGUGGAAAAGGUGAUCCUGGAUUACCAGGAAUGCCUGGUCUCCAGGUAACUCAAAAUUAAGACAGUGAGGUAGAUAUGUAUAAAAAUAUACAGUAAUAUGUAUAAACACAUUCUAUAUAACAUGAGUAUUUAUUAAAAUUAUUUUGCAUUUUACAUAAUUUAAGUGUAUUAUUUAUUUAAUAUAGAUAUAGCAUUUUUUACAAUUAUGUCACUGAUUUCUAAACCAAAACCAGUCAGUUUUCAGGCCAGUCAGGUUGCAGGCCAUCUAAUCCAACUCCUAAAAUUCCCAUCAAAGUUAAGACUGAACAGGUUAGACCAGCUCAACUUCUAGUGUAAUAACAAAGCACAGGAAUGUCCAUAUUUCAAGAAUGAACAUUAACAGGGGAAGGCAAGGCUGAAUUUUCUUCUGACUAUUGGAAUAAACAGAGAGCAUUAAAUUUAAAAGAAAAUAAAAGUGCUUAAUUUUCCAUUUCUUUGAAAAUUAAGCUUUAAAGUAUAGGAUUUAUUGCACAGAAUAUUUGAAGGAUUGAGGGCUUAUUAGAGGCAUUAAUAGGACCAUAUGGAUUAUAAGUUCACAUUUCUCAGGGGACUUACAUCCUCACUUGAGUAGUUUAGUUUUAGAACAGAUGUUUUCUCAUGUUUCAAAACAUAUGCCAAACGAUGAAGCAAUGAGGAAGAAUUAUACUUCUGUGUUCUCAUGACAAAGGAAAAGGAAAUUCAGAAGCAAAGCUGCUCCUCUGUUUCUUAUUCAGUUCAUUGAAUUUAGUGUUGUGUUUCGCUCAUAAUCUUCCCAGGAGAUUUAUUCCUGUUUCUUUUUCGAUAUGCAGGGUGCCCAGGGUGCUCAAGGAUAUCCUGGGGAACUUGGACCACAGGGCCCUCCAGGACCUUUAGUAUGAAUUUAUGUCUCACUUGUUACUUUGACCUUUGAUUUUCCCCGAACCCUAUGGAAUUACACAGAUACAAGUACUUGACUCUCCCAGAUUUAUUUGAGGUCUAGGCACAUGUGUAUGUAAAAACUAUGCUUAUCUGCACACAUCUGAUAUUUUUUCAGUUGCUUUUGAUUAUUUUUAUGCAUGAUAAUUUCUAUAUUUUCAGAAGCAUCCCUUGUCCAUGUAGGCAUAAAUUUCAAUUUUCAAAUGACUACCCAUUAAUUCACUUUAAAUACUAAAAUGUAUAACAUUGAGAGAUGCAUAUGUUUGCAACUAGACUGUGUAAACAGUCUGUCAGCCACUGGUAAUGACUUGUGGCUGUAAAGGUGGAAGAAAAAGUAAAAAUGUGAUACAAGUUCUGUGAAAGUUGGGUGCUUCAAAACACCUAUAUCAGAGCAGAAGAUUGUAAAUUUUUUACCUGAGGAUUUUUUUUUUUUUCCUUUUUUGUAGGGCAUGCCAGGGAAACCAGGACCUCCUGGACCUAAGGUAGUCUCAGAUUGGUAAUAAAAAUGAAAACUUCUGUUACGUGUAACAUAAAUUAACUCAUGUUGUAGGUGUUUGUAAAAUAAAAAAAAUAACAUUUGGGGAUUUUUUUUUCAGGGUCUUAUGGGACUGAAAGUAAUAGGAGCCAAAGGAAGAAAGGUAAUUUCUUAAGAAGCUUUAAACAUUUUAUAAGUUUUGUUUCUGUUUUAUGCAUUUUCUGAUAUGC
rnacentral:lncRNA from 13 species